GAAUAAUAAUAAUAAUAAUAAUAAUGAAAAAGAAAGUAAGAAAGUUACAAACAACAUUUACUUUCCCGAUACGAUCAAUAUUGGUCCGCUGAUGGUCGGAGGUAAUAAUGGCCAAACCAACUGCUUUAAAUCUUGUCCUAUCGCAUUUGACCCAAUUUGUGCAACCCUAACAAGUUAUGCAGGCGAACGGGUAGAGUGUUCUUUUGUAAAUUUUUGUUUUUUGGAAGAAUUUAUGUGUGUAAAAAAAUUAAAUUAUUUGCCAAGAACCGCAGGUGCUUGUGAAGAAGAACUUCCGGAAUGUGUGGAUAUGAUCCAGAAUGGACUACCAGCUAGAGGAUAGAGUUUCAAUAAAAAACAAAAGGUCUAAUGAAAAAUUAUUCAUAAUAUCAAAGUACCAAAGAUGGAUAUCGUAGAGAAGGUUUAUUAUAUAUUUUGUGAAAGAAAAAAUAGAAUAUAAAAUU